rnacentral:lncRNA from 10 species
CAGCUGCAGUAGUAUAGAGAGGAACUUGUGGUGGGCAGGGCCCUAGAACUUCGAAGAGUAUAUACCCUUUGUGUUCAGUUACGAGGGUGGGUAGGCAAGGACCAUCAUGUGGGGGUGGGGCUAGGUGUGUCUGAACUCAGACUCUCCUCGCUCUGGUCUUGCUGCAGCUGCUGCUGGGGAUAGGGGUGAGGUUCCCAGGUCAGUGGAGUUAUGUUCCUAGGAGGAUUGUGGAUGCCUCUGCUGAGUCGUGCAGGUUGUCAGGGAAGUUGGGGAAAGUCAGUAGUCACAGGUCUCACCCAGCUCCCACGCAAUCGAAAGGGCUGGUCUCACUUCCACCAUGCUCCCCCUAACAGCACCAAGCCUGUUUCCAGGCAGUGGGCAAGCAGGCCUGAGAACUUGCCCCAGGCUACCCACCUCCCAGCUGCAACAGAAAGUAGGACUUUAGUUCUUUCCCUGCCUGUGGAGUCUGCAUGCUGGAGGAUUCGUGCCCUCCCCAAGUUCUGGCCAGGAGGCUUCUCCGCCCAUUCAAAUUGUUACAAAGUUCAGCUGGGGAUUUCCUUCUCCUUGUGGCGUUUUCCCCACACCUCUGGCCACCCUCCUGAAGGAUCCCUGUGAUGACAGGCAGGAAUGGCCUGCUUGGGGACCCAGCAAGCUCACAGGGCCUUUCCUGCUGCUUCCUCUACUCCUGUAUUUCACUCAGCUGUCUACGUUGACUCAGCUCCAGCUACUAAACACCUGUGAUGGGCCAGCCACAGUGCAAGGUGAUGAGGAUGCCAGUGGUCAAUACGUGGCAUGGUCCUUGUUUACAGUUUGGGCUUGAAGAAAAUAUUCAUCAAAGAGAAACAAAGACUUGAAUAGCAAUCUUCACAAGCAGUCUGAGUGCAAGGUGCCAGGACCUGGAGAAGCUAAAAAACAUUUAUUGACCCUGGAACUGUCCCAGGGCUCCACAGGGACACACUAUGUCUAUUUAAGGCCAUGCUUUACACACAUCAGUACAGAACCAAGAAGACAAAAGUGCGGGGUUGGUAAUCACAUUACCUACCCAUCAAGUAGCUGAGACUAAACCCAAGAAUAUCACCAAUGAAAGAGAUAUUAGAGUUACAGCUGCUAAGUACCCACUGUUUGAUUCUCAUUUUCAGAACUGCUGUCCUAUGACUUUUCAUCUUUUGUUUAAAUCCUGGCACAGUCGGAGAACUCGGCACACCAUUAAACAAUUCAUUUCAUUUUCAGUUUGCUCUGGUAUCUGACCUGCUCCUCGGCCUGCAUUAUAAGUCCAUCCAUACUUCUUCUUCUAGCCUCCCAGAUAGUCGCCUGCCUCAAGUAACUAUCACAGUCAUCUUCCCACUCACUUCUUCCCCAUUGGUAAAUCUUACAAAUUCAAGUUGCCCAUGAAGGAUUCUUGUAUUUUAUUUUUAUUAUUAUUAUUUUUUUGAGACUCACUCUGUUGCCCAGGCUGGAGUGCAGUGGUGCAAUCUCGUCUCACUGCAACCUCCGCCUCCUAGGUUCAAGAAAUUCUCGUGCCUCGGCCUCCCAACAUAGCUGGGAUUACAGAUAUGUGCCACCACACCUGGCUAUUUUUUUGUAAUUUUAAUAGAGCUGGGUUUUCACCAUGUUGGAUAAACUGGUCUCGAACUCCUGGCCUUAAGUGAUCAACCCACCUUGGCCUCCCAAAGUGCUGGGAUUACAAGUGUGAGCCACUGCGCCUGGCCAAGGAUUCUUUGUCAAGAAGUUAAUACGAAGGCAAUGGAGCUUCAUCCUGUGUGGGACAUCUGACGGUGACCUAGAGUCAGUCCACCUGAGGGGCAAAACCCAUUCAUCAUUUGUCAAAGGCUGUUUUUCAGAGGUGUAUUUCUUCUCUGGCACUUCGGGCUUGACAUGCAAACAAAGCACGUAUGUUCCUACAUCCAGAACAAAAGCUUUUGCUUGUAGAAAUGAGUUCUGAGAAGAUAUGAGCAAAUUUCCAUGACAUCUGUUACAAGGGGAAGGACGUGCACCCAAGUGUGCUCAUCGAAGUACAAAUCUGGCCCCUGGAGAGCAGAAACAGAAGCUGGUUUUACAGCAUUACUUUUAUGAAACAACAUUGAAUACUCUACCGCCCACAAAAGUAGUGUAAAUAGCAGGUUUUUCCAUCAGCUGUUGUCAAGACAAUUCUGUUUUAACAACCGUAGCUGUUUCUAUGUUUACUCUCUUUGGAAUGGUCACACUCACACCCAAGGUCACUCAGGCAACAUAGACAGCAGAUCAAGAGUGAGAGAAAUCCUUUCCAUCUUUUCUCCUCUUCUAG